GAUGGCGAGUUUUGCAGGUUUGCAUCCAGCUUUAAUAUAUUACGCUGUGCAAAUCCAUGCAAAACUGGCCGUUAC
rnacentral:pre_miRNA from 1 species